rnacentral:misc_RNA from 1 species
UAAUAAGUGUUUAUGGCACUUUUUAAAUCCAUAUCCACCUUGUGUGCAAUGUCAGUCGAUCUUCUUCAUGAGAUCGGCCAAACAUCAACCUUUAUCUUUUAACUGCUUGUCUGAAAAUAUUAUGAAUAAACAAUUCAAAUA